rnacentral:rRNA from 1 species
GAUGAACGCUGGCGGCGUGCCUAAUACAUGCAAGUCGAGCGAACAGACGAGGAGCUUGCUCCUCUGACGUUAGCGGCGGACGGGUGAGUAACACGUGGAUAACCUACCUAUAAGACUGGGAUAACUUCGGGAAACCGGAGCUAAUACCGGAUAAUAUAUUGAACCGCAUGGUUCAAUAGUGAAAGACGGUUUUGCUGUCACUUAUAGAUGGAUCCGCGCCGCAUUAGCUAGUUGGUAAGGUAACGGCUUACCAAGGCAACGAUGCGUAGCCGACCUGAGAGGGUGAUCGGCCACACUGGAACUGAGCCACGGUCCAGACUCCUACGGGAGGCAGCAGUAGGGAAUCUUCCGCAGUGGGCGAAAGCCUGACGGAGCAACGCCGCGUGAGUGAUGAAGGUCUUCGGAUCGUAAAACUCUGUUAUUAGGGAAGAACAAAUUUGUAAGUAACUAUGCACGUCUUGACGGUACCUAAUCAGAAAGCCCCGGCUAACUACGUG